rnacentral:misc_RNA from 1 species
UUUUAUUUUUUUAAUUUUUAUAUUUACAUAUCCUCCAAAAAACCUCCAAUGGAUGUGGAAUGGCUUGAAGAAGAAGUUCCAUCUCCAUUAGGAAUUCAAUUCCCUGAGCCUUCAUCAUCAAACUCACUUCUCCCAGACACAGAGCCCCCUGCCCCUGCCACACAUAUACAGUCAGUCAAUCAACCUGAAGUUGCAUCACCAAGAGAAGAAAGUAAGUAUGAAUCAAUGGCAUAAACAUUGACUUUCAUUAACUUCUGCCUGUAUUACAUUGUAUAUGAAAAUACAAUUAUUUCAGGGCCUCCCCCGUGCACUUGACACUGCCUACCCAAAGUUCAACAUCACGAAGGCAAAAAAGUAAGUACUCAUUUUUAGAUGUUAUUAUCUACUUAUGCGAGUCUGAUUAAUAUCAAAUGAUACUUUUCAGAGCGUGGUGAGCGAGUGCUACGCUGGGCCUAUGACUUGGAGGAGAAGCGCAUUGUUGCUGAGGAACGUCUCGCAUCCGCAAUGCAGGCCAUGAGUGACAACUCAAAGAGAUGACCGCUUUAUAGUGUUAUCAGCUCUACGGAAUCGACACCUAUCUGGUGUUGAUCUCCAGCGACGCUUAC